rnacentral:lncRNA from 1 species
UUUGAGCAUGGCCAAGGUCUAUUCUAACUCAAAUUUUUAAUUGGUCAUGUACAUUUGGGAGCUUUCCCCAGCUCAAGUAUAAGACAAUAAAUUUCUUUUUUGUUUGGGUUGGAUCAAAAUCAAUUAUAAUUGAAUUGGGAUAACCCCAACUAGGUUAUCUAAUGUUGGUUGGUCAAUUUAUUAUUAAUUGUUUAGUUUGUUCUUGCAAAUGCUUAGAAUCCGUUUAGGUCAAAAUGAGGCAAGGAUGGGCAGGUCAAGCAAAGAUGAGUUGGAUGGGAUCAUGCAAAAUAUGCCAUAGAACCAGGUCUUAGGAGUGGACAAAUAUAAGCCAAUGACAUGUCAUGCCAAAUUCAGUUCAUGGGAACAAAUAUUACUACUUUAACUUGACAGGCUGAGCGAACCCACUGCUAUUAUGGCUUGACGUAACGCAGGCAAGUUAUUCUCUUUCUUUUUUUUAAAAAAAGAAGCAAUGAUGCAUUCCUUGCCAUCCAACGGCAUCGAAGAAUCUUAAACUUGUCUUCAAAAUUAUAGGCUUUUGUUAUUUUAUUCAUAUGCGGACAAGCAUGGUCGACCAAUAUUAAAGUAUUGAUUCCGAUGUCUGCAUAUUUCUAUAUUUUAAAAAAUGGAGAAAUA